GAAAUGCGAUACUUGGUGUGAAUUGCAGAAUUCCGUGAAUCAUCGAAUCUUUGAACGCAAAUUGUACUUUCCAGUAAUCUGGGAAGUAUGCUUGGUUGAGGGUCAUUAUAAUAACAUUCGUGAAUUUUUUCGCGGAUUUGAGUUUUCCAGUAUUUUUAUGAUAAUAUAAAAAUGUUGGUAACUUUAAAAUUAUUUAUAACUUGGUACAAGUUGAAAACGUGCUAUAUGUGUGGUUCGCUGACAACUUGUCCAUCUUCAUAUAUUAUGCGCGCACUUGGUUUUUUAAGCUCUGUGCGAGUAUAUAUUUUUUUUUUGACCUCAGCUCAAGCAAGAAUACCCGCUGAACUUAA
rnacentral:misc_RNA from 1 species